UACGGAGGGUGCGAGCGUUGUCCGGAUUUAUUGGGUUUAAAGGGUGCGUAGGGGGCUUUAUAAGUCAGUGGUGAAAUACGGUUGCUCAACAAUCGAGGUGCCAUUGAUACUGUAGAGCUUGAAACAAGUGGAGGUUGCCGGAAUGGAUGGUGUAGCGGUGAAAUGCAUAGAUAUCAUCCAGAACACCGAUUGCGAAGGCAGGUGACUACGUUUGAUUUGACACUGAGGCACGAAAGCAUGGGGAGCAAACAGG
rnacentral:rRNA from 1 species